AUGGGAUCUGGGAGCCUCCCGGCCGCCAAACGGGGGCGACUCGGGAGGAGGCAGGAGCGUAUUUGUGAGUUGUCUUCAAGCCAUAGAAGCACCGUCGAGCCCUGGAGCUGUGGCGACAGCGCCGUCCCAGCCAACGGCGUCCUCUUCCAUGCCCUGGCCAUCCAGGAGGAGUGCCACGGCUAUCACAAUUCUCCCCAUGGCAUCCUUCGGGAUGUUGAUCGUGUCCUUGUACCGGCGGCAGUCGGAGCCUGGUACGUCCAGAGAGGCAUGGCCUUGGAUUGGAGCAUUGCAGGCAUCGAUCCACUUCGUGGUAGCCAUGGGGUAGGGUGGUGUAGAGCUCAGUCCCGUGAGCUGCAGUUCACCCAUUCAUUCCUCACCUAUAAGCCUAGCAAGAAGGAAAACAGUUUGUGCUAUAUAUACGACUGA
rnacentral:rRNA from 1 species